UGCUUAAUAUUUGGAGUGACUAAAAUUAAUGGCCUGUAACUCGUCUCACUUGACAAAUGUAAUAAAAGCAAGAGAAAUUGGAUGUGGUUGAAUUUUCCCCUGUGGUUACUACCAUGGCUAAUUCACAAAUUCAUGUUGAAAACUGAAAUGUAGUAGUACUAGAAGCCAUUCUUAAAGCAAUAACUAUGAUAGUUGUAUGCUAUAUCCUUAUUUCUUUUCUUUUUUUUUCCUUAUCCUAAUUUCUUUAUACAAGCAUCCAGUUCUGAGGAUCAGGGCUAUAUAAUAGUCAAAAUUUAAUAUAUCAUAUUCUUAGUUUUACAUUUACAAAGAA